AUGGUUAUUGUACCAGAUCUAAGAUUGUUUGGUUCUAAGUUGGGAAAAAUUAUUUUGAAAACGUUCAUGAUCCAAUUGUGCAUUGAAUUACCUAAAGUCUUGCUAAUUAUUGACACAUUCUACAGAUUGAGGAGAACCUAUGAGGUCAUCAUCAUUUGUGAGGAGGCAGUUCACAAAGAACGAAUUUAUCUUUACUUUGCUAUUGCUUUUGGGUUCAAAGAUUCAUGUUCUGGGCUGAGUGGUCCUGAGAAAGAUUCUUGUCAUAUGAAGCUUGUUAAGAGUGAGAUGAGAAGUACUCCCACCAGACAUUUCUAA